CAUCUUCAACCAGUGGACACUUUAAAAUUAAAUGGAAAUAUUGUUAAUUAAUUAACAGAACUAAUCACAAGAUGAACAAUUAACAAACCAAAUUAAGAGGCGAUCUCGUUACUAAGGGAGAUCAACCCUUCGUCGAUAUCAAUUGGCCAAUAGAAAUCGUUUUAAUCGAUAUUCGAUUAAUUAUCUAAUAUCUGAUAUCUAAUUUUAAUUUUUUUCUUUUUGUUUUUAUCUUAAUUGUAAUUUUUUCCCAAUUAAUUUCACUUCUAAUUAAGUUAAUUUUACCUUUAAUUCAAUUUGAAAUUAACUAAUUUCCCGAUUAUUUUCACUCUUUUACUCUUAUUGUUUGUUUACCUUUUUGUUUUCUUCUUAUCAAGUGAUCGCCAUUUUGGUUUUAAAAUUUUCUAUUUUUUUCAAAUUCUUUUUCCCUCUUGACUUUAACGAGAAUGGAUUAUAAAUAAAUUGUUUUAAUCAAUGAACAAUUUAAGGAAAUUAUGUUUGUUUUCAUGAAUCGUUUUCCUGGUUUUCUGGUUUUUUUUUCUCUCUCUUGAUGAUCAACAAUUAUUUUCUCUACUUUUUUUCUCUUGAUUACUUGGUGGUGGUUGUGUUAACAAAGAAAGUGAAAAAAGAAGACAAUAGUAAACGUGCCAAUUGAGAAAUAGACUGAAAUCCUGUUGAAUUGUCAAAAUCUUCUGGUUCAAUUGGAUUGGAGAACCGUUGAAUCGUCCUUCUUGUCCCAUUCUUUCAUCUGAAUUUCGUUUUUUUUCCUUCACUUGUGUGCAAUUCAUCAUUGGAAACAAAUGUAAAUCAGUCUGUGUUUUUGGUGCUAAAUGAGUUAAUUGUUGUUCCUACAGUAACAAUUAUCUUUUCACAUUCGUGUACCGUUAAUGUAUCACAAUCGGUAUAAUAAGACGUGUGUAGAUAUCAUACUAACCAUAAAACCCAAAUAUCUUUUCAAAUACAAAUUACUUUUGAAAAGGAAGGAGAUAAAAGUGGAAGUUAUAGUAAAUUCCGUUGAAAGAUCAUGAUUAUCAUGAUUAUAAUCAUUCAUCCUUUUCUUUUUUACCUAAUAGAUGAUUAAGAAGAGAGAAAGACUCACAAUAUUCUUAAAAAAGAAACUUUCAAUUCAUGAGAUUUGGUGAAAAAGAAAAGAUUUAUCCCAAUUUUCUAAUACCUGUUCAUCUUCCGUAUCUACACCUUUACCUUUCCAUCCUAAUAUAACUUUAUUGCUACGUAACAUUAAAUUGUAAUCUAUUUUCUCUUGUUGUGAACAAAUUUGAUUACAAUUUGCAACAACAACAACAACAAUAGAUACAAAUAGUGAAUUCAAAUAAAUUGAAUUCAAAUUGAUUCCCGUUAACAUAAACACUUCCAUGUAUUCAAUUGAAAACCUAAUUUAACUUAAUGAGGAAAAAAAAAGUUCUGAUUAUUUUGUUUACAAAACCACAAAACAAUUUAACUUUUAACAUUCAAUUUCAGAGCAAUGGCCAUUUUCAUGGGAUAAACAAACCAACAAACAACUGACCUUCAAGAAAAGUUCAUUGAAUCAUGGAAACAUUUUCCCUCCAACUUAUUAUAUGGAAAACCUUGAAUUUUGAAACAUUAUCACAUAUUUGGUGCAAAUUUUCAAGUUCAUCUUACGAUUUAUCAUGAAAAAUGAGAAAAGAUUAACAUGCAAAUGAAUUCAACGAAAUGAUGAUGAUGAUGAUAUGAUCUAUUCAUCAAUCAUUGAAACAAAGUUAUCAUAAGAUUGUUUAUAAACCUUGGAACUAAAUUCUUAUUAUGUAAAAGACACGCAAUUUUAAUUUCUCAAUCCUAAUCAACUCGAUUUGAUGAUGAUCAGGGUAAUGAUUAAUUUUUAAUUCUAUUAAUUUGAACUUCCUAAUCAAGAGAAAAGAAAAACAAAAUUAAGGUUUGGUUUAAAUAGUGACGAUUAAAAUUAACGAAUGAUUUUUAUUUCCGUUGAUUAUAAUUCCCAUGAUAAUGAACAAUCAAUCCAAUGAUGAUUUAAUUGGAUAAUCAGCUGAUUACGUAUGAUUGAUUCAUGGAAGUCAAUUAAAAUUUGAACUUUAUGAAAAGUUAAUUAUCAAGUUGAUCAUAAUUAUCUAAUAAAUGAUCAGUAAAUGAUUUUAUUCAAAUGAUUUAAAGAUCAGAAUUUUAGAAACUUUUUUUUCGUCUGAAAAAGUUUCGAAUGUGAUUUUUUUUCUUCUUUUUUUCUGUUCAUCUUCAUCAUCUUCAUCAUCAUCUCAUGUUACACUUGAUUAUCAUGAUUUAAUGAUCACUUGAUUAACAGUUAAUGUCAAUUGAUUGAGGUGAAAAAAAGUUAAUAGUUAACAAGAGACUGAGAAAGUUGGUUGAUAAAAAAUGAGAUAUUUUCAUCUUGAUCAUGAUGAUUAUUAUUAUCUUGAUCAUCUCUAGGUUAUCAUCAUCAUCAUCAUGAUUAUCAUCAUGCUGACAAAGGCCAGAAAUGUUAAUUUGUAUCAAAUUAAGAUUUUGAUUAACAAUCAAUACUUGAUUGUUACUUUUCAUCUUAUUAUGAUUCAUUAAUCACUAUCAAUAGAUUUUAGUUUAAUAAUAUCACAUAUAAAUAAUGGUCAUCACUUUGAUGUAACUGAUUGUUAUAAUCAACUGAUUUAAAUUGUUUAAAUCAUAAUUGUGAUUCUGAUCAUAAAAGUGAUGACAAGGAAUCAAAUUUUUACAAAAGUAAUCAGCUAAUCAUUAAUACAAUUGGUUAACUUUAGGUGAUUGAUUAACUGAAUCACUUUUAAUUGCCUUACUGAUUGUUCCCAAUUUAUCCUCAACAAUUAACAAUCUAAUUUGAUUACUAUUUGAUUUACUGACCAUUAAUAUCAAUCACGUUAUUGGUUCAUUUAAUUCAAUGUUAAUUAUAUUUCUGCUUUGUUAAUAACUGAAUUACUUUUAAUUUAGUUCUGAUUA